GACGAACGCUGGCGGCGUGCCUAAUACAUGCAAGUAGAACGCUGAAGCGAGGAGCUUGCUCUUCUUGGAUGAGUUGCGAACGGGUGAGUAACGCGUAGGUAACCUGCCUUGUAGCGGGGGAUAACUAUUGGAAACGAUAGCUAAUACCGCAUAACAAUGGAUGACCCAUGUCAUUUAUUUGAAAGGGGCAAAUGCUCCACUACAAGAUGGACCUGCGUUGUAUUAGCUAGUAGGUGAGGUAACGGCUCACCUAGGCGACGAUACAUAGCCGGCCUGAGAGGGUGAUCGGCCACACUGGGACUGAGACACGGCCCAGACUCCUACGGGAGGCAGCAGUAGGGAAUCUUCGGCAAUGGGGGCAACCCUGACCGAGCAACGCCGCGUGAGUGAAGAAGGUUUUCGGAUCGUAAAGCUCUGUUGUAAGUCAAGAACGAGUGUGAGAGUGGAAAGUUCACACUGUGACGGUAGCUUACCAGAAAGGGACGGCUAACUACGU
rnacentral:rRNA from 1 species